UGGGGAAUUUUCCGCAAUGGGCGAAAGCCUGACGGAGCAACGCCGCGUGGGUGAUGAAGUUUUUCGGAACGUAAAGCCCUUUCGCCAGGGACGAAGCGAGUGACGGUACCUGGAGAAGAAGCAUCGGCUAACUACGUGCCAGCAGCCGCGGUAAUACGUAGGAUGCGAGCGUUGUCCGGAUUUAUUGGGCGUAAAGCGUACGUAGGCGGUUUGUUAAGUUUGAUCUUAAAGACUGGGGCUUAACUCCAGGAGUGGAUUGAAGACUGGCAAGCUAGAGGACAUCAGAGGGAAGUGGAAUUCCGAGUGUAGCGGUGAAAUGCGUAGAUAUUCGGAGGAACACCAGAGGCGAAAGCGGCUUCCUGGGGUGGUCCUGACGCUGAGGUACGAAAGCUUGGGGAGC
rnacentral:rRNA from 1 species